GCAUCGGUCAAGGAUCUUGACACUACUGGGACGACUGGUGAGGACGCGCUCUCGUAUUGUCCUCUCUGCGCGCUCCCGUGCCACCUUCAAUUCUAAUUGUUGUAGUUUCCUCCGCAAUCCCCUGUUUUCUUUCUGGCUUUGAGUUAUUUCCAAACGAAACACUGCAUAGUCGUCGUCUACGAGUUUACAGAUCUCUGCCACGGCUGUAUUCGCUAGCAUCUCCAUGAUGGAGGCAAUUUGAGUGUGAAAAAUCAUACAGUCAGCCAUUGUUGUUAGCGAACGUUAGCAGCUAGCUAGAUAACAUCAUCAACCAAGUUCCGUCUCCAACGCGAAUUAAAGACUACCUGGGCAGGUGCACGACUUGUCGGCGUCCGUCCUAAUCCUCGGCCUCCCACAUCGUGACCCAAUAGCACCAGAGGAGGUAGAAGCAGGAGCCACCACCCUCAGGAAGGGUCUAUCUAUCAGCCCCAGGCUCUGCUCCAUCCCUGCACUGAGACUGUGAAGAGAAGGGUCUGGGCUGCAGACUGGAUCACUGGAGCCUCUGUCUCUCUGAUGACCACCAGGACUGAGGUUGUUCAGUCCACCUGUC